ACUAGUCCGGGUACAGGCAGGGUCAGGGAGCAGGCGAGGCAGACUAGUCCGGGUACAGGCAGGGUCAGGGAGCAGGCGAGGCAAACUAGUCCGGGUACAGGCAGGGUCAGGGAGCGGGCGAGGCAGAAUAGUCCGGGUACAGGCAGGGUCAGGAAACAGGCGAGGCAGAAUAGUCCGGGUACAGGCAGGGUCAGGGAGCAGGCGAGGCAGACUAGUCCGGGUACAGGCAGGGUCAGGAAACAGGCGAGGCAGAAUAGUCCGGGUACAGGCAGGGUCAGGGAGCAGGCGAGGCAGACUAGUCCGGGUACAGGCAGGGUCAGGGAGCAGGCGAGGCAGGCUGGGAGGUAAUGCGGGAACAAACUGCAUGCUGCCAAGUACGAUCUGGUACUGAGGUGAGAGUGAAGGGGGCCUAUAUACUAGUGGAGCCAAU